rnacentral:lncRNA from 1 species
UUUUUCAACCCCUUGCGUGUGUUCGGAGUCUAACGUAAGUCCAGCGAUUGGCCGUUGGUUUCCUGUGUCUUGUUUGCUUGUUGGAGUCUGACGUAAGUCCAGCGAUUGGCAGUCGGUUUCCUGUGUGUCAGUUUGUUGGUUUGGAGUCUGAUGUAAGUCCAGCGAUUGGCAUUCGGUUUCCAGGUCUGCCUGUUUGUGUGGAGUCUGACGUAAGUCCAACGAUUGGAAGUCGGUUUCCUGUUUGUG